rnacentral:rRNA from 1 species
UACGGGGGGGGCAAGCGUUGUUCGGAAUUACUGGGCGUAAAGGGCUCGUAGGUGGCCAACUAAGUCGGGACGUGAAAUCCCUCGGCUUAACCGGGGAACUGCAUCCGAUACUGGAUGGCUUGAGUUCGGGAGAGGGAUGCGGAAUUCCAGGUGUAGCGGUGAAAUGCGUAGAUAUCUGGAGGAACACCGGUGGCGAAGGCGGCAUCCUGGACCGACACUGACGCUGAGGAGCGAAAGCGUGGGGAGCAAACAGG